UUUUGCUACAUGUUUACUUAUAUUUGCUUCAUCUCUUUUAUUUGUAUGUGUAUAUAUGUAUACUGAUAUAUAUUAUAUUUGUUUACUGAUGUCUCAUGAUAAGUCAAAAAAUUUUAAAAUUUUUUAUUUUGUUAAUCUUCUUCCUGGCUAUUAUUUUUUAGAUCUAUUUGUUAUACAUUCGUUUGCUUCUAUAACCUCAACUCGCCGCAAUGUGCAGGUAACUUUACUAGUUAUAGUUAUAUACUGAUCUAUAUGCAGUAUUUAGUUUGAUAUAUUUGAAUAUAAAUGGUGUAAUUGGAACUUUAAAGGAGGCUCAAUUGUAACAGUUAAAAUUACAUCCAAAUUGAGUGCAUAUCUAACUGCAUUAGUUGGAGAAAAUAACUUUAAACAAAAGAUAAACUUAUCUCCCUAAUCAACUCUGAAUAGAAAAUAUAUAUUUUUUUACAUUGGGAUUUGAUAAAAUUUUGUAAAUCCACUUUACAUUCACAUACAACCAAACAAAUUAUUAUCUUUACAAUACUUUGUAAUACAUACAAUCAAAUAAAAUAUAUACAAUUAUAACAUCUAUAUUUUUAAUUGUGCACCUCUAACUGCACUACGUUUAUAAUUAUAUCGGACCAAAU
rnacentral:lncRNA from 1 species